GACGAACGCUGGCGGCGUGCUUAACACAUGCAAGUCGAACGGAAAGGCCCUGCUUUUGUGGGGUGCUCGAGUGGCGAACGGGUGAGUAACACGUGAGUAACCUGCCCUUGACUUUGGGAUAACUUCAGGAAACUGGGGCUAAUACCGGAUAGGAGCUCCUGCUGCAUGGUGGGGGUUGGAAAGUUUCGGCGGUUGGGGAUGGACUCGCGGCUUAUCAGCUUGUUGGUGGGGUAGUGGCUUACCAAGGCUUUGACGGGUAGCCGGCCUGGGAGGGUGACCGGCCCCAGAGGGCUAGGGGAGGGACCCGUGCGGUCUCGGGCGCCAUGGGGGGGAAAAUUCUCCAACGGGGCCGAGUGGGGGAUGAACGCCCCCGGGUCGUGAAGCACGGCUUUUGGGGUAGAAAAGCUUUGUGCUUGUGACGAGGCGUCGUGACGGUAAAUGAUGAAAAAGCCCCGGCUAAAUUCGUG
rnacentral:rRNA from 1 species